UUCCACUUUCCUUUCUGUGCAGUGUCUGACUCGAAUGAACACUCAGACUGAAAACCAGGCUUGGCUGAUGUUACAGAGGGAGGAUCUCAGCUGGAUGCACAUACUGAUGCCAUCCAAGGGGAAUUUCCAAAUGCCAGGAAUUCUGAAGAUUGAAGGAGUCGUGCCAGAAGAACAGGCAGGCAGACCGAAAAGGCAGGCAGACCGAAAAUGAACACCCCGCUGAGGAGACUGAAGACCCUCUGUACCUCCUGCAGUUGCCUGGAUGUGUCAGGAGUGGUUUCACCCGGAAAAUGUUCCCGCUCCUGGCCUGGCUGGUGCCAUCCCGACCCGCCACCGCCGACGGCA